AGAGUUUGAUCCUGGCUCAGAUUGAACGCUGGCGGCAUGCCUUACACAUGCAAGUCGAACGGCAGCACGGGGGCAACCCUGGUGGCGAGUGGCGAACGGGUGAGUAAUACAUCGGAACGUGUCCUGUAGUGGGGGAUAGCCCGGCGAAAGCCGGAUUAAUACCGCAUACGAUCUACGGAAGAAAGCGGGGGACCGAAAGGCCUCGCGCUAUAGGGGCGGCCGAUGGCAGAUUAGCUAGUUGGUGGGGUAAAGGCCUACCAAGGCGACGAUCUGUAGCUGGUCUGAGAGGACGACCAGCCACACUGGGACUGAGACACGGCCCAGACUCCUACGGGAGGCAGCAGUGGGGAAUUUUGGACAAUGGGGGAAACCCUGAUCCAGCAAUGCCGCGUGUGUGAAGAAGGCCUUCGGGUUGUAAAGCACUUUUGUCCGGAAAGAAAACCUUCGAGUUAAUACCUUGGGGGGAUGACGGUACCGGAAGAAUAAGCACCGGCUAACUACGUGCCAGCAGCCGCGGUAAUACGUAGGGUGCGAGCGUUAAUCGGAAUUACUGGGCGUAAAGCGUGCGCAGGCGGUUCGUUAAGACAGAUGUGAAAUCCCCGGGCUUAACCUGGGAACUGCAUUUGUGACUGGCGAGCUAGAGUAUGGCAGAGGGGGGUAGAAUUCCACGUAGCAGUGAAAUGCGUAGAGAUGUGGAGGAAUACCGAUGGCGAAGGCAGCCCCCUGGGCCAAUACUGACGCUCAUGCACGAAAGCGUGGGGAGCAAACAGGAUUAGAUACCCUAGUAGUCC
rnacentral:rRNA from 1 species